CCCUUAGAUGUCCUGGGCUGCACGCGCGCUACACUGAUGUGUCCAGUAAGCACCUAACCUCUUCCGAAAGGAACGGGUAACCUUUGCAAAGCACAUCGUGAUGGGGAUAGAUUAUUGCAAUUAUUAGUCUUGAACGAGGAAUUCCUAGUAAGCACAAGUCAUCAGCUUGUGUUGAUUACGUCCCUGCCCUUUGUACACACCGCCCGUCGCUCCUACCGAUUGAAUGUUCCGGUGAGCUCUUCGGACUGCGCGGUCUGCAGUUUCUGCGUUCCGUGCGGAAAGUUGCGCAAACCUUAACAUUUAGAGGAAUGAGAAGUCGUAACA
rnacentral:rRNA from 1 species